UACGGGGGGAGCAAGCGUUGUUCGGAUUUACUGGGCGUAAAGGGCGCGUAGGCGGCGCAACAAGUCACUUGUGAAAUCUCCGGGCUUAACUCGGAAAGGUCAAGUGAUACUGUUGUGCUAGAGUGCGGAAGGGGCAACUGGAAUUCUCGGUGUAGCGGUGAAAUGCGUAGAUAUCGAGAGGAACACCUGCGGCGAAGGCGGGUGCUGGGCCGACACUGACGCUGAUGCGCGAAAGCCAGGGGAGCGAACGGG
rnacentral:rRNA from 1 species